rnacentral:misc_RNA from 1 species
GAUGAAGAACGCAGCGAAAUGCGAUAAGUAAUGUGAAUUGCAGAAUUCAGUGAAUCAUCGAAUCUUUGAACGCACAUUGCGCCCCCUGGUAUUCCGGGGGGCAUGCCUGUCCGAGCGUCAUUACAACCCUCAAGCUCAGCUUGGUGUUGGGCCCCGCCGCCCCGGCGGGCCCUAAAGUCAGUGGCGGUGCCGUCCGGCUCCGAGCGUAGUAAUUCUUCUCGCUCUGGAGGUCCGGUCGUGUGCUCGCCAGCAACCCCCAAUUUUUUUCAGGUUGACCUCGGAUCAGGUAGGGAUACCCGCUGAACUUAAGCAUUCAAUAAGCGGAGGA